rnacentral:lncRNA from 10 species
CAUCAUUUUAGAUUAAUUUCUCCUUUCCUGCAUCCAGACAGUUGUGGUGUCCUGUGUAUUCUGGGUUACUGAAGUAGCUUCUGAUCAGGUUCUCAUCAUCCCUUACCCUGGAAAUUGUGGCAGUGGACUCCUGAUUGCUCUGUUAUCUCUCCUGUGUAAUCUUUCCUGCUCACUGUGGUCCAAUUUAUCUUCUUAAGUCUCAAGUCAGAUAAUGUCUGCCCCCUUUAAAAGCACUUGGAGAUUCCUUGUUUCCUGACAUUUAGCGUUGUCAGCAGGAUAGAGUGAGUGGGUCUUCAGCUCCCGAGGCUCCCGGGCAGGCUAUGUGGCCGCAGCAUGAUGGGCUGUGGUACCCAGUGGCAGCGGUGCUGCUGGGAUGGGCCCCAGUGGAAACGUGGGAGGCAGUGGGCGGGUCUCCUGUGAGUGUGGAGAAAGCACUAAAGCGCUGGAAGAACACAGUGCUGAGAAGAAAUGCAAUGCACCUUCGCCGGCAGAGUUGGAUGGGCAUUUCUGACUGCACUGCGGGAAGUACAUGCUCAGUCCCUGUGGGAUGCUGCACAGUUCACACCCAACUGAAAUAUCUUAUUGAGUGGAAGUUUCCCUUCAAUACGAACCUCCCUUCCAUUCUACUGACCACCCUAGAGAAAGCCACUGUACAAGAAUCCAGAUGGAAACAGCUGUUCCUUAAGUUUAAGACAGAAACUUGGUCUGAAAAGUGACACACGCUCUGUUUCUGCAGAUGUCUCCAAAAACAGAAGUUGUUGCACCUGACAGUGAAUAUUAAAGACUCAGCUUUGAAGUAGACCUUCCUCCCACUGCCGCUCCGUUUCUGCCCAUAUAAUGAAGGCUUACCACUUUCUGUAAGCUUUGUCUGCAUGACCUCAUCCAGCUGGGAGAUCCCCCUGCCAGGCCAGCAAAUGACCAAUCCCAUAAUGCCUUCUGAGGACAGCACCCUGGGAAGACAGAUUGAAGCAAGGACUAAAUCAUCAAUGGAGUUUGAAAGAGAGGAAUCCUACCAUAAUAACAUAGAAAGAUCUUCAUUUCUGUGGCCUGAUAAUUGAGGUGUAAGAGGUGACCUGGUGCAAUUGGAAUCAUGUUGGCAAGAAUUCUAGUCUUAACUAUUUGAAUCACUAUUUGUAUACCUUUAGCAAACUCCCUUAUCUUCUUUGGGCUUCAGUUUCUCCAUGUGUCUGAUAUAGAUCACAGCAAUAAAAAUUGGGUUUUACCUGGAAUAUUUUUGACGAUACUUACAAAAGAUAAAGGAAGUUAAAAUUAUUUUGCGUAUCCCCCAUCACCCCCAGGCUACCAUACAUAAUUAAAGGAUUGUUUCAAA